UAAAUGCCCCCUCCAUCUGGAAAUACAUGUCGGAGAAAUGGAUAAAAAUGAAUGUAUCUAUAGAACUAAAAUACGUCUAGAUACAUUCAUUUCUCCGGCAAGUAUUUCUGGACGGAGGAGUACCUA
rfam:Triticum aestivum genome assembly, contig: Triticum_aestivum_CS42_TGACv1_scaffold_177555_2DS